GCUGCGUGGGAGGAGUGGAAAAUUCAGGCUAUGUGUUCUUGGCGUGACAGAUUGUCAAUAGCUGGGGUGUUCUGCAUGGAGAGCUAGGAUGAGCUGUUCUGUUUCAGGGCCCGGUCUGUGUGAUGUCACUCAACAGUCCUUGGGACAUCUCCUCAUAGCCACAGACUGGUUCUGCGAUUGCCCACCUUCUUGAUUUGAAGCCACCCCUGGGAAUCUGGUGUCACCUUGGGAACCUCUGCAUCAGAAAUCAGGGAUCAUACUAGAAGCACAAAAGAGGGCCAAGGAGAGGACCGUGCCAAGGAGAAUCCAGAAAGGACAUUGGGCACUGUGGCUUGGUCUCGGGCAGCCAGCUUUCACGUACCACUCGGCGGACAUUGUUGUGUGUGUUGGCUGCAAUGGUAUUCAGCUCACUGUCCCUGAAGUUGGGGUGGUGUUCUGGCAAUAGAACUUGGCAGAGCCGAGGACACGACUGUACAGUGGUUUGUAUCUGGGGCCAUUGGUGGAAGAACAGAUGCCAGUGCCACAGCUAUUGGCCAGUGUGUGACAGUUAAAGAAGGAAGCCAGGAGCUACUGCAGCAAGACCUUGUGUGGCAUGCCUGUACUGAUGUGAUGGUUCAUGUAUACAUCGGUGCCUGUCAUGAGCUCUGGCAUCUCUGAGAGGUCACCUUCAUUAUAAAGCUUUGGGUUUCAGUGAUUACCAAUCUGGUUGAUAAGUUCAUUUGGGAGAGAUGCCAGGUCUUGCCAAACUCCAACAUGACUGCGGGGCUCAAAACUCAGGGAGGGCCUCUACCUUCUCAGCCAUCUGGCCAAAGUUCAACAUACUACUGUACAGGGUAUACAUGUUGCAGAUCUGACAGUUCUGCUCAUCUGUGCCCUCCUCACCUACAUCAUCAUCUUCAUCCUCUUCAUUGUGAUGGAGCUGGGGUGUUGUAAGCACUGGAGGUACCUGUGCUGCUCUGCUCUGACAUGCUGGGCCCGCUCACACGUCCCUCCCACCCCCACCCCCAUCCCACUGCAACCACAGCCACUGCUGCUGCAGUUGUGGCCACUGAGACUGGCUGGGGCAUCUGGUUAGGGGCUAGGUCUGACGUGGAGAACUUGGCCAUCUUGAGGCUGCCAUUGUUGCCACCACUUCCUGCAGCCUCCUUCUGGCUGCUCUCCCACAGCCUCUUGGUCAUGGGUGUGCAUUGCCCUGAGUCCAACUCCUGUUUUGUCUUGACCCGUGACACAAGGGGCAGUGGACAGCUCCAGACAGGCCAGCCCAAUAUCUGUGCUUAGCUGCAGGACUGCGAAGCUCUGAGGAUGGAGAGGCCUUGAAAGUUGCUAACUUGGAGAGCUAACUUUGAGAAGAACUCAGUGCCUUUCUCCAUGAUCUCCUGGGUCUGCAGGCUGUGUAGAUGAGCAGGAACUGGUCCCCCAUUUUCAUGCUCAGCCGGCCUGUAUAGCAAACUGUGAGGAUCUGCUGGAAUGACUGGCUGCACAGCGGCCGGCAGUUCUGCCACAGCACUGCUGCGGCUGCUGUUGAAGAGGUCCCAGAAGAAGGAGCUGCUGGUGGCCAUCAUGGCACAGUGGGAUUUGGAGGCAUGGCCCUUAACCAGCACUAGUAUGUCACAGUAGAGUCCCUAUAGCCACUGCUCACUGAUGCACUCGAGGAUGCUGCUGCCAAAGUCUGGAAUCUUCAUCUGCAGGGUCUGAGCCAUGGUGCCCCUGGUUUUAGUUUACCCCACACCUCUCCUCUCUUGUUAUCUUAAAAUUGUGUGAUUGUAGUGCCAACCUCAGGGGAGGUUCGUGAGGAUUAAAUAAAUUAAUGUGUAUG
ensembl:processed_transcript